rnacentral:rRNA from 1 species
UGUUUGAUCCUGGCUCAGAACGAACGCUGGCGGCGUGCCUAACACAUGCAAGUCGAGCGCGAAAGUUCCUUCGGGGAUGAGUAGAGCGGCGGACGGGUGAGUAAUACAUAGGUAAUCUACCUUCGAGUUUGGGAUAACCCCGCGAAAGUGGGGCUAAUACCGGAUGAGACCACGUAACUUAUGUUACGGGGUAAAAGGUGGCUUGUUUUUUAAAUGAGCUAUCACUUGAUGAUGAGCCUAUGGCCUAUCAGCUUGUUGGCGGGGUAAGAGCCCACCCAAGGCUAUGACGGGUAGCUGGUCUGAGAGGACGACCAGCCACACUGGGACUGAGACACGGCCCAGACUCCUACGGGAGGCAGCAGUGGGGAAUAUUGGGCAAUGGGCGAAAGCCUGACCCAGCGACGCCGCGUGGGUGAUGAAGGCCUUCGGGUUGUAAAGCCCUGUCAUGCGGAAAGAACGACCCUGUGACGCAUACUCACAGGGAGUGACGGUACCGCAGGAGGAUGCACCGGCUAACUCCGU